rnacentral:rRNA from 1 species
GACGAACCGUGCAAACGUUGUUCGGAAUCACUGGGCUUAAAGGGCGCGUAGGCGGGCAAGCAAGUCCGGGGUGAAAUCUUUCGGCCCAACCGGAAAAGGGCCUUGGAUACUGCUUGUCUGGAGGGAGGUAGGGGCAGACGGAACUUCCGGUGGAGCGGUGAAAUGCGUUGAUAUCGGAAGGAACGCCGGUGGCGGAAGCGGUCUGCUGGACCUCUACUGACGCUGAGGCGCGAAAGCCAGGGGAGCGAACGGG